ACUCCUACGGGAGGCAGCAGUCGAGAAUCUUUCACAAUGGGAACCGACUGAUGAAGCGACGCCGUGUGAGUGAAGAAGGCCUUCGGGUCGUAAAGCUCUUUCGCUUGGGAGCAAGAAAAGUGAGCUAAUAUCUCACUGAUUUGAUAGUACCAGGUAAAGAAGCACCGGCUAACUCUGUGCCAGCAGCCGCGGUAAUACAGAGGGUGCAAGCGUUAAUCGGAAUUACUGGGCGUAAAGCGCGCGUAGGCGGUUGUAUAAGUUGGAUGUGAAAUCCCGCGCUCUCAACUUGGGAAUUGCAUUCAAAACUGUACGGCUAGAGUGUGGGAGAGGAAGGUAGAAUUCCAGGUGUAGCGGUGAAAUGCGUAGAUAUCUGGAGGAAUACCGAUGGCGAAGGCAGCCUUCUGGCCUAACACUGACGCUGAGGUGCGAAAGCAUGGGGAGCAAACAGGAUUAGAUACCCUGGUAGGUCAGU
rnacentral:rRNA from 1 species